GCUGGGGGUGGUGGUGCACUCCUGUAAUCCCAGCUACUCAGGAGGCUGAGCCAGGAGAAUUGCUUGAACCCGGGAGGUGGAGGUCGCAGUGAGCAGAGAUCAUGCCACUGCACUCCAGCCUGGGCGACAGAGCAAGACUCUGUCUCAA
rnacentral:SRP_RNA from 1 species